rnacentral:rRNA from 1 species
AUGGCGACUCUUUCUCUCUCCCUGGUACACUCCCAGGCCCUCCCCCUAUGGCGACAAGGGCUGCGGCAGCGACGGUUGCAUGGCUCGUUCAGCUGCCAGUCCAGACACGCACACGCUGCCGGGAGAGUGCAGGCGAGCUACAGGGGUCUUGAGCCGCUGUACGAUGAUGGGUACGGGACGGUCAAUGACAUGGGCCACUAUUAUAAGGCGAUCGGGGAGCUGGUGGAGCACGACGGCCGGCCGCCCCGCUGGCUUUGCCCCGUCGACGCCGGCGAACCGGCGGUCGAGGAUGCCCCAGUCAUGCUGUAUCUGCCAGGGAUAGAUGGAAUGGGGAUGGGGCUCUGCAUGCACCACAAGGAUCUUGGAACGAUAUUUGAACUUAGAUGCAUGCACAUUCCUCUUCGCGACCGCACGCCGUUCGAAGAACUUGUCACAAUGGUAGAAGAUGUUGUGAGAGCAGAGCAUUCUGCUUCUCCUACUAAGCCCAUCUACAUAUUGGGGAAUUCAUUUGGAGGAUGCAUAGCUCUUGCAGUCGCCGCUCGUAAUCCUGGCACUGAUUUGGUACUGGUACUAGUUAGUCCAGCUACAUCAUUUGAGAGAUCACGCAUAAAAACACUUCUGUCGGUUUUCAGCCCGUUGUCGGACCGCGUCUGUAUUGCAGCUGCAGCUCUACUGAAUUACAACAUCCACAAUGAGGUGAACAUGGCACUGAGUAUAAUGAAAAGUGGGAGGCAUCCUUUAGAAGCACUCAGCAGAUUGACAAGUAACAUGUCAUCUUCCCUGAAGCAUUCGAAAAUGCUGGACAAACUACCAAAGGACACACUAAAAUGGAAGAUUAAACUGAUCAAACAGGCUGCAUCAUACGCUAAUAGCCAUAUAGAAUCAGUUACAGCCGAGGUGCUACUGCUAGCCAGCUGCGCCGACAGGUUACUUCCGAGCAAAUCUGAAGCUAACAGGCUACAGAAGAAGUUACCCAAAUGCAGAGUCUUCUUCUUUGAGAAGCAUGGCCAUAGCUUGCUGCUGGUGAGUUUUUUUAAGCAGACUUUAUCACCCCUUCUGAAUCUGCAGUUGCUCUGGACAUACGACGAUAUCAGGAGCGUGCCCUUCGGCGGGAAGCUGCUGCGGGCCUACAGCAACCAUCUGAAGCUAAGGGACACUCAGGAGGUGAUCUUCCCCGGCGCAGUUCCGAAGAUUCCCGGCCGGUUCUACUACCGGUUCGGGAAGCCGAUCCCGACGAGGGGGCGGCAGGACGUGCUCACCGACCGGCGGGCCGCGACCGAGCUCUACUUCGAUGUUAAAUCGGAGGUGGAGGAAAUCAUCGCCUACCUGCUGGAGAAGAGGGAGGAGGACAGGUACAGGAGCAUCCUGCCCAGGCUCCUCUACCGAGCUGUGAGGGGGUCCAAAACUGAAGUCCCAGCCUUCAACCCUUAA